AACGCGAAGAACCUUACCAACCUUUGACAUGGGACGUUUGAUUUCCAGAGAUGGAUUUCUUCAGUUCGGCUGGCGUCCACACAGGUGCUGCAUGGCUGUCGUCAGCUCGUGUCGUGAGAUGUUGGGUUAAGUCCCGCAACGAGCGCAACCCUCAUCUUCAGUUGCCAGCGGUUCGGCCGGGCACUCUGAAGAAACUGCCGGUGACAAGCCGGAGGAAGGUGGGGAUGACGUCAAGUCCUCAUGGCCCUUACGGGUUGGGCUACACACGUGCUACAAUGGCGGUGACAAUGGGUUGCAACCCCGCGAGGGUGAGCUAAUCUCAAAAAGCCGUCUCAGUUCGGAUUGCACUCUGCAACUCGAGUGCAUGAAGUCGGAAUCGCUAGUAAUCGUGGAUCAGCAUGCCACGGUGAAUACGUUCCCGGGCCUUGUACACACCGGAGUA
rnacentral:rRNA from 1 species